AUACCUCUGCGGUACAGGUGAGCAGCUGGAUAGAUGCCUUGAGCCUAUUUUAUUACUCAGGGACCUACUGUAAAAAUGAUGUUGUGCACAUCCAGUCCAUGGGAAGCCUGAUUCGUUUUUCAGUUCUCCCACUUGAACCCCUGGUUCAAGGUCAACGGUAGCCACCGUAUUCGUGGAGUGUAU
rnacentral:other from 1 species